AUUUCUGAUUAUUGGCGGUACCAUAGCCAAUGAGGGUUAUCCGAGGCGUGGCUAUUGCUAGUUGAAAAGAUUAUUAUUAUUAUUAUUAUUAUUAUUAUUAUUAUUU
rnacentral:snRNA from 1 species